rnacentral:tRNA from 1 species
GUUUCUAUAGUUGAGUAGAACAACGGUGGUUUUUCAAGCCACAGGGCUUGGAUAGAGGCCAAGUAGAAAUU